GAUGAUAACGAGGGAGACCAAGCAGCGGUGCUGCCAGAGAGAGCAGAUGAAUCCCUUUUCUUGAACAAUUUGGCUUUCUUUUAUUUAAAGUUGCAGGCAAAACUUUUACUGCCAGCAUCAGUCAUACAGUCUAUUAUUGAGGAUUUUCAAGCAGUGCAUGAUAUCAGUCAGUCUCAUUUACUUCAUAAGUUGGACGAAAAGCUGGUAUCAUUGGAUAUCUCUGACCGUGAGAGAGAGAGGUUCUUAAAUCCGAGGAUUUGUUUCGGGCAUGCAACACUGGUACCUUGAAAACUGAUCAAAGACAAAAAACGGUUUUUAAAAAUCAGUUUAGAUACAUUGAGCCAGUCCCACCUUAUCUUGGAAAGAAUGAUAUGGGAUCACAGAGUGGCUUUAGUGAAAACUUCAGUAAAGGCACCCAUUUCUGCAGAUUAUGUACUAGAGCCCGACCGAUAUAUCUAUAAUAUAUUAAUAUAUAUUAUAUAAUAAACAAAAAAAAACGAUGAUUAUUUAUCUGUACUUGUCUGCUUGAACGUUGUAAUUGCUAUUUACUACAAUUAUCCAGUAGAGGGAGCUCUAAUACAAGUGUGAACUGCAGCAGCUGACGCGCUACUUCUCUAAUAAGACGUUUGUUACUCGUGCCUCAUCCAAUAUUCUCCACUGCAAGACUUGUCUGCACAGAUUCGGUUGCGGCAAUAAAGGUAUGUAGAUUUAGUGAAAGUUUUUAAUUAAAUGCGUUUAUACGACCACUAUGUUUAUCAAUCCUCAUUAUCAAACGAGCGAGCUAGCUAACAUAUUUGGUUCACUUUAGCAAGCUAGCAAGCCUUUAUGAACUGGAAGUGAGCACAUAAGCAGCGUAGGAUCUACAUUUCCAGAGGACAUCGCUGUAUUCUCAAAUAAAUAACCAGCCAAAAUAAAAUGGUGAUUGAAUGUGUCACACAUUUGUUUUUGUUUUUUUGUUGUUUUUUAUCUGAGAUAAUGAUAUUAGCUACUAUAUGAUGUUUUGUAAAUAGCCAAGGCGUGAUUGCAAGCGAGUGUCAUCUUGUCACGCGUCAUCGUAGCAAGCUAACCAGACAGUAAAAAAGCAGAUAAAACACUUCGAACAUGAAUCAUUUUAAGCCAUGUUAUCUAGCUUUGUCGUGAUAACAUGAGAGAAGGAUUGCUGUUGGAGAACUGAAUCAACCAAUAGUUAGCGCGGGUAACCUGCACGAAAGCUCAUACAUAUAAGAAAAUACAAUAAGAAAAUAUAAUUAAUUUAACUUACUGAGAAAAUAUAAUAAGAAAUAACGAGGCUGUGUCAUAGCUAAUGCGUUAUUGCGAGCGAGUGUGUCAUCUAGUCACGCGUCAGAGCGCAUUGUAGUUAUUUUCACCGUCUAAUUCUUAUGGACAGGGAAGCUCGUUUGAUAGUCUUAGUAGGAAUAAAAUAAGAAAAUAUAAUUAAUGUACUGAGAAUAGAUACUAAGAAAUAAUAAUAACAAAUUAAUAAUAACAACAAUAAUAAUAAUAAUAAUCAUAAAAAUGCAUGUUUGAAACUGGAAAAGGGAUUUUUUACAUUAAUUUUUUUAUAGAUGUUGGAAAAGAAAGGAGUAAAAGCAAGGUGUGGAGUUAUUUUGAUUUCACACACUUAAAUAUAGUGUUAAUAUGUAUAUUUAAUUUAAUAUCAUCUUUUACUUUUUUUAUCUAAAAAGUUUUGUGUGUUUAUUUUAAUUUUUUUUGUUUGCUUAUAAGUUAAAUGUUCUUAAAUAUAGAAACUUUAAUAAAAUAUAAGUUUUUCAAAUUGGUUUGAAAAUGUUGCACUUUUUGACAAAAUAUCGGUCAAAACAUCGGUAAUCGGUGGGCUAGGACUCCCCAAAAUCGGGAUUGGCACCGGACCCAAAAAUCUGGCAUCGGUCGGGCUCUAUUAUGUACUGUUGGCCAUGCUCAAUUUUUGUCAUCUCCCUUCACAACAGGUGAAAAGAAAACAAUUGCAUCAUACAAAGACAGCGUGCAGCACAGCAUGCAGCAUAACAAUGUCUGAUAUAAGUGAGAGCAUCAAGGACGCAGUCAUUUCUGUCCUGCCAAGUGUGCCAGAAGAAACGAUCUUACACCAGGGAGUGGAAAGCAAAGAUGACUUGCAGUACAUAAGAGAACAGGAAAUUGCAGAGGUUAUUUGACCAAUUCAGUGCAGAAAACUUUUAAAUGCAUGGAAAUGAGCAGGUACUGUAUAUUUACUACUUCACUACCAAAUUAAAGAGUGUAUUAAAAAGCUUAUUGUUUUAUCUAAUUAAUUAUGGCAUAAUUUUAGUCAAUAUUCAUAAUGAUAGAUUUUUGUUUUCAUUGCCAGAUGCCAUAAGUUGUGCUACCCCCUACUCCAGUCCCCAGAAGGCAGUUCAUCACUGUCAAGCUCCUUGAGAUCCAGUAGCCCUUCACCAUCACAUUCCAUUCCAUUCCAUAACUUGGCGUCAUUUUGAUGUCAAUACUUUUGAGUAACUUGGCAUUUUUGUUGUAAACAUGUUUUUUAUGAGAUAUCAUUUCUUUUUGCAAAGAGUUUUAUUAUGAGAGUGAGAAAUGCGAAGUGACCCUGUAAGAAACGUUUGUGGAUUAUGGCUAUCCUUGUGUGAAUUUGUACAGUCUGAUGAGCGUGUACUGUUUAGCAGUUUCGGUUUGCUAUCUAUGUAAAACAGUGGCUGUGACAAAGGGUGCGGUGGCGUAUAAGUGUAAAACGUAUCAGAGAUGCAUGUGAAAUAUGGCCAGUGUAUGUACUCACGUCCAUCCAACUGACAAAAGAAUCAGCAAGCCCGUAGAAUUAUAACUCUCUAGGUCGCAACUUGUGUAGCCUUCUGUCCUGCUCCGUUGUCUGUUAUUUCGUGGAGAUGCACUUUUAGUGUUUGUAAGGUUUAUAAGGCAUUUUGAUAGGCUUAUCUGCAGGUAGGAAUCCUCUUCGCUGUUUUGCUAAACUAGAACCGGAAAACAUGAUAGUGGAGAAUAGGAGCAGACGCAUAUGUCCCAGCAGGUUUUGCAUAUGAGAAAAUAACAACAGUGUGAGAGAAAUUAGGGUGAAAUUAUUAAAUUUCGGAGUUGAAACAAUAUGUUUUUAGCAGAAUGGGCAUGUAGGUGAAAGUUGACAUGAUCACGGAGUAUAGUGCGAAGUAAAUGGAGUGACCAUGAGCGAGCUUAUAUUCCUUAUCGAACGGUAUAUAUAACAGUCGCUAUAAAGUGCCAGCUGUUAAAGUGGGGGGUUAAGUAACACGUGAAAUCUAUUGCACUGCUAUGUUUUUUUCAUGUUCAGUACUAGUACUGAAUCAUGUUUUUAAAUGUAAUAUUUUAAUGGGUAGUUGCAGAACGUACAUACAUAGUAAUUGUUUGUAUGUGGCUGGAUAGAGAACAGGGCGAGGUAACAUGAUGUAGAAAUGUGGCGUUUGCUGAUAAGAAGGUUUUGUACAGUAGCCAAGUGAAGAAAUGUAGUUAGUAGAAA